rnacentral:lncRNA from 1 species
CAGUUUGGACGCUCAGGAUUGCACCACGUCAUCAGUCAACAGUCCACGGUUUGACCACGCGGAUGAACAGUAACACAGUUUGACCCGGAUGAACAGUAACACGGUUUGGUUGAAAAUAAUCUUGUGUGAUGCAUGCACCGUACGCGAGAUUUUUCGUCCACUGAUAUGCUGCCACGUCACCAUCAACAGUACAUAAGAAUUUUAGUCCAACAGGAUCGUGACACCUCAUCAGUCAAUGCCACAUCAUCGGUCAAUGCCACAUCAUCGAUCCGUCUAUGUGAACAGUGCUAUGAACAGUAACGUAUACAAUACCGUAUACGUGAAUAGUACCGUACAUGUGAAUAGUGCCAUUUUUCCUUUUAUGCUCCUCCUAAGGUUUUCGACCGUCCUGAGUUCAAAAGUGAUGUCCAUUUUGCCGUCUGAUCUCUCCUUUAUUGUGAAAUGACUAUAAUGCCCCUAAAAUACAUAAAUUACUUAAUUAAAAUAAAAUACACGUAAUUAAAUCACAAGAAUGUUAAAAACAUAAAAGUAAGGG